UGCCUCAUGGUAUCCAAGUUGAAAGAGAUAAGUUGAACAAGUAUGGUCGUCCUUUAUUGGGAUGUACUAUUAAACCAAAAUUGGGAUUAUCCGCAAAAAAUUAUGGUAGAGCGUGUUAUGAGUGUCUACGUGGUGGACUUGAUUUUACCAAAGAUGAUGAAAACGUAAACUCACAACCAUUUAUGCGCUGGAGAGACCGUUUUGUCUUUUGUGCCGAAGCUACUUAUAAAUCACAGGCCGAAACCGGUGAAAUCAAGGGGCAUUACUUGAAUGCGACUGCGGGUACAUGUGAAGAAAUGAUUAAGAGAGCUGUAUUUGCAAGAGAAUUAGGGGUUCCUAUUGUAAUGCAUGACUACUUAACCGGGGGAUUCACCGCAAAUACUACUUUGGCUCAUUAUUGCCGCGACAAUGGCCUACUUCUUCACAUUCACCGUGCAAUGCAUGCAGUUAUUGAUAGACAGAAAAAUCAUGGUAUGCAUUUCCGUGUAUUAGCUAAAGCAUUGCGUAUGUCUGGGGGAGAUCAUAUCCACUCCGAUACAGUAGUAGGUAAGUUAGAAGGGGAACGCGAAAUGACUUUAGGUUUUGUUGAUUUAUUGCGCGAUGAUUUUAUUGAAAAAGAUCGUGCUCGUGGUAUCUUUUUCACUCAGGACUGGGUAUCCAUGCCAGGUGUUAUACCGGUAGCUUCAGGUGGUAUUCAUGUUUGGCAUAUGCCAGCUCUGACCGAAAUCUUUGGGGAUUA
rnacentral:lncRNA from 1 species